rnacentral:misc_RNA from 1 species
GAUGAAGGACGCAGCGAAAUGCGAUAAGUAAUGUGAAUUGCAGAAUUCAGUGAAUCAUCGAAUCUUUGAACGCACAUUGCGCCCGCCAGUAUUCUGGCGGGCAUGCCUGUUCGAGCGUCAUUUCAACCAUCAAGCCCCAGGCUUGUGUUGGGGACCUGCGGCUGCCGCAGGCCCUGAAAACCAGUGGCGGGCUCGCUGUCACACCGGGCGUAGUAGAUUUUAUCUCGCUCAGGGCGUGCUGCGGGUUCCGGCCGUUAAAAAGCCUUUUUUACCCAAGGUUGACCUCGGAUCAGGUAGGAAGACCCGCUGAACUUAAGCAUAUCAAUAAGCGGAGGA